CUGUGGAAUAAAUUAAAAUCCUUUGCCUUUUUCAAGAAUCAGCAACAUUGCGGUGUGGGCUGAAGGCAGAGAGCAACAGCUUUCACCUUCAUCACUCCCUCCUCCACUUGCACACUCGCUCGCGCACACAGGGGUGGCUCGGGAACGAGCUUCGCAUCCAGCGGUCCGGCGACGGAGGGAAUAUGCUCAGUUCAGAUAUGAAUGAAUGAAAAUAUGACAGCUUCACACAGACAGAGAUGUCUGGAACACCAUUUCCGGUUCGGGCUGACCUGUCAGGUGUUACGUGCUGCUCGGUCCACAUCUGGAGCAGCAGCGCGCGGUGUGUCUGCUCCUAAGAAAUGCCAUUUCACCUAAGUGAUCUUCUGCCUGUUUCUUCUUCUUCUUUUUUUCCACUCUCGGAUUUUAUCUUGUCGGUCGCCUUGAAUCGUGUGUGCGCGUGUAUGUGUGUCUGUGCGUGUUUGCUUGAGCCAGUGAUUGAAGGGCUUUCAUGACUUGUGCCCUCAGGACUGUGAAGCCACGAGAACAGGAUGAAAAUCGUUCGUUUGGUGCUGAUUCGCCCUUUCAGCGUCUCAGUUAUUUCGCCCCUUAAUUAGAAGACCGGUAACCGCGGUGAAAAUCUGCUGAUCAAACAAUGGAAAGACCUUCAGUGCAUCAACCUAAAGGGUGUAGCAGCGCAAUGAGGUGACAGAUCAAAGCUCACUGAUUGACAGAGCUUUUCUACAUGUGCACACCAGUGCCAUUGUAAUGACUUAAAAAAGCUUAUUUUCCUUUAUUUUGUGUAUCUACAAAAAGAUAGAAGAUAGAAAGCCAGAGAGCCUGGAGGGGAAACCAUGGUCAUCGCUGAUAGAAACACCGGCACCCCUGUGCCUAAAAAGGAGCCCCAGAAGAAAAGGAAGUCUCGCCCUCAUGGCCUGCCCUCUCCGGCACUCUGCUGUGCUUGUGGCCUAUGCAUCAUGCUGGCUGGACUCAACAUCACCCUGGUGGGAGCAUUCGCCUUCAGCACACUGAUGCCUUCUGCCAACCCCCCAAUCAUCAUCGGACCUAUCCUGCUGCUGGUGGCCUUUUCCUUUUUCGGAGCGUGUUGCGUGUGCAGUCGACUCCCGCCUCCACACAGCUCACGAAGGUCCAAGGUUGGGGGCAGAGGGGCUGGCUUGAUGGGACACGGCGGGCAGGCUGGCGGGGCAGCGUUUGAAAUAGAGACCAGCGAGCACACGCUGCAGGACACUACAGCUGUGCAGCUGAGCCCCACAUCCUCCCCUGCAUCAUCCCAGGCAUCCAGCUCAGAAAAAGAGGCUCCUGAUGCUGAUGCAGCCCUGCCGGGACCUUGCAAGCUCUUCACCAUGGAGACAAACGGCCCGUCUUGUGUUUCUGCCACCGCAGUCUACUCAACCUCCGCAGCAGCAGGAGGGGAGGUGAAGCUCAACCUACCACGUGAAGAAGUGGUCAUCUAGCAGGGCAGAAACUCUUAGUCUAUGCUAGUAGUGUAAAUAUCCUUCUGGGCAGAGGGGCUGCUGGGUGUGAUUGUAUUCUCUAGUUUACGUACUGCCAUAUUUCUAGUUGUGAAAAGGUGUCAAAAGUUACACUUUUAUUUAUUCAUUUAUUUACUUUCUUGCCGUGCCAACUGGUAAAUAGCAUGCAAGUAUUUGUGGAUCAAAGGUUUCGGAAUUCAAAUUCCUACCUCUCUUGUGUCGUUUUCUUACAGGUCUUUGUUUUUAACGUGGGGCAUUAUGAACUGAUUUCAUGAAGAAGUCAAAGAGUCUGAAACCUUAAACACUCUUUUUCACUCUUGUUCUGAUUAAUGGAAACCUCAACUCUCAGCAGUGACUUUAGAGGGCUAACUAACAAAAAAGACUAAACAUCUGAUUAUUUAUUUCUUCUGAAAACUUUACACGUGAAAGGUCAGUAGCUAAACUGGACGGAAACGCAUUUAAUGACAUUUGGCAUUUUGUGUGCCAUGCUCAGUGCUCAGCUUGUUUUGGGGGUGUAAGCUAUUAUAGGUCAUACAUGUGCCAAAGCAAUAUUCCCUUGAAAUGCAAAGGGAUUGCACCACACAAUAGCCAAUUGCAAUGUAUACAGGUGUAACUAUAUACAGUGUCGUUCGAAGUCAUUAUUUCUGUAGUUUGAUGUAACGAAUACCAUCAUCAAUGCUGUGAAUAUUAUGUUUCUCUCUUUUCAUCUGGCGGUUUAUAACAUGUUAAACUUUUAAUCGAAGGCAACCCCAUCAGUUUAAGGUCAUGUUGAUCAGAGCUUUACUCGGUAGUUCCUAAUGCAGUCGGAGCAAGGAUUUCUUUCUCCUCUUACUCAGCGUGCAUUUCAUUACUUUUUUAGAGUGCUAUAAGAGCAUCUUUUCUAAAUGUGAACAAAGGAAUUUCACAGGAGAUGUUUUCCUCCUAUGGACCUAACAUUGACAGCACUGGAAAGCCAAGAAGUUUAGAUAUUCCAAUUAUAUAAAAUGCAUCUGUUCCCCGUCACUGUGAUGGCUUCAUGUCAGUUUAAAUCUGCCUAGUAGACAUUCAACCCAUGAUUUCCUUUGAAAGGAAAAGUUGCCUUAGACUGAGAUAUCAGGAUCAAACUAAUGAGGGCUAUAAAAAAGUGCACAACAGCAGUUUUCUGCGGAAAGCCUUUGUUUGGCUCCAGAUUUCUAUUCAGCAUUGAUAAGAAAGACUCAGUGAUUUUGUGUUUUUUUGUGUUAUAAAUGCAUGCAGGAUGUGCUCAGAAGUCUGUAUGAGGUAGCAGUUGCAUACAUACAGACAAACAGACACUGUUUGACAUUUUUAAAAAAAAGCCAGUUGGUGUUCCUUCAGAGUUCGCCUCUGAUGCUAAAUUAGAGUGUCAAGCUUAAUUUUGCAUGCUCAGAAAAUGGGUUACGGGAAUGCAAACACCCUGAUGUGAAUGAUUAAUGUUGUCUGUGUGUUUUAAAUUGUGUAGCACCUAUAGAAAAUGUGAAACAAAAAAAACAUGUAAAGGAUAGAAUAUUUUUGUCAAGACUCUAAUUUAAAGGACCCUAACCCAAUGUGAUUUCUUUAAAAGGCAUAAAUAAAAAGGCUCUUUCUGUAAAAAAUA
ensembl:lncRNA